rnacentral:rRNA from 1 species
AGCAGCCGCGGUAAUUCCAGCUCCAAUAGCGUAUAUUAAAGUUGUUGCAGUUAAAAAGCUCGUAGUUGAAUUUCGGGAUCAAUACGCCUGUCGUGCCUUCGGUACGUACGGGUGUAAUUGGUCUCUACCUUCUGAGGAUCCUUGAUGUCAUUAAUUUGGUGUCUUGGGGAAUCAGGACUGUUACCUUGAAAAAAUUAGAGUGUUUAAAGCAGGCUCACGCUUGAAUACAUUGGCAUGGAAUAAUGAAAUAGGACGUUUGAUUCUAUUUUGUUGGUUUCUAGGAUCGACGUAAUGAUUAAUAGGGAUAGUUGGGGGCAUUAGUAUUCAAUUGUCAGAGGUGAAAUUCUUGGAUUUAUUGGAGACUAACUACCGCGAAAGCAUUUGCCAAGGAUGUUUUCAUUAAUCAAGAACGAAAGUUAGGGGAUCGAAGACGAUCAGAUACCGUCGUAGUCUUAACCAUAAACUAUGCCGACUAGGGAUCGGAUGAUGUUAAUUUUUAAUGACUCAUUCGGCGCCUUAC